UUUUUUUUUUUUUUUUUUUUGUCUUUUUGCCUUUUCUAGGGCCACUCCCGUGGCAUAUGGAGAUUCCCAGGCUAGGGGUUGAAUCGGAGCUGUAGCCACCGGCCUACACCACAGCCACAGCAACGCGGGAUCCGAGCCGCAUCUGCGACCUACACCACAGCUCACGGCAACGCUGGAUCCUCGACCCACUGAGCAAGGCCAGGGAUCGAACCCGCAACCUCCUGGUUCCUCGUCGGAUUCGUUAACCACUGCGCCACGACGGGAACUCCACACCAUUUGCAUUUUGAACCCAUCUCUCAGCCUCGCUGCACUCUGGGCUUCUCCCCUCCCUCUGGGGGACUCCUCUUCGGUUCCUGCUUUAGCUCCUCUUCUUCAGUUGUGUUCACAUGUCUUCUGUGCUCCAUCUCCAUCUUCAUGCAGGAUCUGCAUUCGGCAUGAACUGCCCCGAACCCGUGUGGGCUGCCGCCUCUGAAUUUCCCAUCCAGACACCUCUUGUGUGCUUCAGAAUCAUAGGUCACAAAGCACGCUGGACGUCUCCACCUGAACGUUCAGCAGAUCCCUUAAACUCAGCAUCCUAGGAGCUGCCCCCAUGGACCUGACCCUCAGAUUCUGCCCCCAAGCCAUCUCUCUCUAGGUGAAGAGCCUUAUUAUCCAACUAGACACUCGAUGUUGACUUGGAAGUCAUUCUAGGCUCUUCCUUCUCACUUCCCACCCACACCCCGUCACCACGUCCUGGUCAUUGGACCUUGUAGCAGCUCCCAUCCCCUCCCCUGCUUGCCUGCUGCUUUCUCACUUGGUGGCUGGGUCCUCCUCUUCCCUCGCUUGGAUCUCAUGUAAGUGGGUCUCUUAAUUUGCUCCUUUGCAGUGUCCUGCCUCCCAGAGUGUCCUUCCUCUUAGACAUCUUCUACGCAGUUGCCAGAAAGAUCCUUCCAAAGAGAAAUUGUAAUAACGGCAGCUUAGAUUUGUUUGGAUGCUUAUUGUCUGCCAGGCGCUUUUCCAAGUGUACCAUGUACCAACUCUUUUAACACCCAGCAAAGUUGAUCCUCUGUUAUUCCCUUUUUAUGGAUGAGAAAACAGAGGAACAGAGAGGUUCAGUGACUUGUCUGCAGUCACAAGGCUAGUAAGUGUAUACUCUUAACUACAUAUGUCACAACAACAACAAAAACCAUUGGUGGGGGGGCUUUCUAGGAAUUAGCCCUUUGCGUAUAUUUUCUCUUUCAAUCCUUUCAAGUCUGUAAGUUAGAAACUCAGCCUCUCCAUGUUUACAGAUGAGGAAAGAGAGGCCCGGAAACUUUAAGCAACCUGCUCAAAGGUCCACAACUUAUAGAUGGGAGAUGGGGCUCUGAGCCCCCGCAGACUGGAUCCAGGCUCUUGCCCUUAGCACCCCAUCCACCCACAAGGAGCUGGGGGUGGGGUGAGGUACCUUCUGAACUCACACUUCUGUGGGUGUUUUUCUGUUCUACUUUCAGAAUUGUGGGUGGCACAUAGGCACGUAUAAGAUGUUCCCACUAAUAACAAUGUGUAUGGUGAUAAGACCAGCAUCCUUGCUGGAACGCUAUCCAGAUAUGAUGAAACGCUAGGCUUGCCCAGUAAUGCUGUAGGUAUUCCUACACCUGUUUAAAAUGCUCCAUUCCAGCUGUUCCCCCUCUGCCUUUUUAUCAGUUGAUUUUGAUAACUUGGAAUUUUUGUUUUUUGUUUUUUUUCUUUUUCUUAUUGCUUUUUAGCGCCACACCUACAGCAUUUGGAAGUUCCCAGCCUAGGGGUUGAAUUGGAGCUGUAGCUGCCUGCCCACACCAUAGUCACAGCAACACAGGAUCUGAGCCACGUCUGUGACCUACACCACACAGCUCACGGCAAUGCCGGAAGCUUCACCCACCUGAGCAGGGCCAGAGAUUGAACCCAAGUCCUCACGGAGAGUAGUCAGGUUCAUUCCCACUGAGCUGCCACGGGAACUCCCGAAGUUUUGUAAAUUCUUAGGAGCACAACUAUCACAAGAACAAGUUACAGCAUAACAGAUUGAAUGUUAUCUUCACUGGCAGGGUUCCUGAAAUUAUCCAUGGGAGGAAAAUUCUUCCCUGAAGAGAGGAAUAAGACAUUAUGGGAGGCAGUUUAGUUUAAGAUGGUUGGCUGAACAUGUAUUUAUUUCUCUUAUCCCAUUAAAAUCCAUUGAAAUGUUAGAAGAGAUUUUUUUUUUUUCUUUUUAUGGCCACACCUGUGGCACAUAGAAGUUCCCAGGCUAGGGGUUGAAUUAGAGCUGCAACUGCCAGCCUAUGCCACAGCCACAGUGAAAUGCAUGUGGGACCUACUCUGCAGCUUGCAGCAAUGCCGGCUCCUUAACCACACUGACCAAGGCCCGGGGAUCAAACUCACAUCCUCAUGGACACUAUGUCGGGUUCUUAAAAUGCUGAGCCACAAUGGGAAUUCCUAGAAGAGAUAUUUAAAAAAAAAUUUUUUUUUUAAAUAAAAUAUGCAGUUCUGAAAACCAUUCAGGAAAAGUCCCAGAAAUAGCAACAACAACAACAACAGCAACAACAACAACAACAACAACAACAAAAGACAAAAAAAAAAAAAGCAAGUUUCUAUGUUCUUUCAUUUUCCAGGAUACAGGACUCCCCAAAGUUGACAUUAUCGGGAAUGGCCCUAGUGGAGCAUGAGAGUUUUUACUAGGUCAUUACCAAAACCAGAGGAGCAUCCUUCUCCUCCUUCAGGCUCCCAUCCCAUUAAUGGGAAUGAACUAUAUAUUUUCACGCAGAAAGACCUCCUCUUUUUUGCCUCUCUGACAACUAAGAAGAUUCUUUCCCUUGACCAAAUGGUUCUUAACCAAGGGCAGUGUUACCCUCGACCCCGAUAUCCGACAACACACCUGGACAUUUUUGGCUGUCACCACUAGGGUAAGGGGGACAUGCUGCCGCUGGCUUCUAAGCAGGUAGGAGCCAGGGCCACUGCUGAUGCAGCAGGACAGCACCUGCUCUGUAAUGCUCAAGCCAGCACCCCGAGCAAGGAAGAAUCAUCUAGACCAAAAUGCCGAUAUUAGUGCCACAUUGCAAAAUUAGCUCUUCAUUGCCUGGCACACUUGUAGCCAAAACUUUUCCUUUAUCUUCCAAGACGUCAGAGACCUGAGAAGGUAAAACCUGAAAGCUGAAAAUUUGGCAGUCUUCUUUAUGUUAAACUCUCCUAAUGCUUUACUGGAAGGUAGAUGAAAUCUCUGACAUUCAUUUCCCUGUGCCUAAUCCUCCCUGCCUGGUGAAACCAGGGUGUGACAUUAAGUUUGACAUUUAGCCUGGGGCAAUAAUAUCCCUAGUUAGCAUGAUUGUUCCAUCUUUCGGCCACCCGUGUCAUUGUCAGUCUGUUUGCUCCUCUUUCCCAGGGAGUUUGGGUGCAACCUCACGAUCCUCUGACUGGGGCUGCAGACAGCCAUGACUAACGAGAGUUGGCAUGAGAAGUAAGAGCUUUCCUCACCCCAAACUGGAUCAGCAUGGUUGUCUUAUGCCUGAGUUCUCUCUAUCUUCCCUGCCACAAUAUAUUUUUUUAUUAUAGUUGAUUUACAGUGUUGUGUCAAUUUCUGCUAUAUGCAAAGUGACCCAGUUAUACAUAUAUACACGUUCUUUUUCUCACAUUAUCCUCCAUCAUGUUCCAUCACAAGUGACCAGAUAUCGUUCCCUGUGCUGUACUGCAGGAUCUCAUUGCUUAUUCCCUCCAAAUGCAAUAGUUUGCAUCUACUAACCCCAAACUCCAUCUCCCCCCGCUCCUUUUUGUCACCCACAAGUCUGUUCUCCAUGUCCGUGAGUUUGUUUCUUUUCUGUAGAUAGGUUCGUUUUUGCCGUAUGUUAGAUUCCAGAUAUGUGGUGUCAUAUGGUAUUUGUCUUUCUCCUGCUGACUUACUUCACUUAUAUGAGAGUCUCUAGUUCCAUCCAUGUUGCUGCAAAUGGCAUUAUUUUGUUCUUUCUUAUGGCCGAGUAGUAUUCCACUGAGGCUUUUUACCACGUCUUAAUUCAUUCAACUGUCAUUGGACAUUUGUUUCCAUGUCUUGGCUAUUGUGAUUAGUGCUGCAGUGAAGCACAAAUUAUAGGGGUGCAUGUAUCUUUUUCAAUGAAUGCUUUGCCUGGGCAUAUGUCCAGGAGUGGGAUUGCUGGGUCAUAUGGUAGUUCUAUAUUUAGUUUUCUGAGGUACCUCCAUACUGUUUUCCAUAGUGGUUGUACCAGUUUACAUUCCCACCAACAGUGUAGGGGGGUCCCUGCUGUGAUAUUGUAGUGAGGUCUUCAAAAGAUGAAAUCUUUUCAACAGUUAGUUGUCUCUCUAAAAAUGUCUUUAUUUUGUCUUCAUCUCUGAGGAAUAUUUUCAUCUGAUGUAGACUCAUCAGUUGUCUGCUUUUUCUCUCACUGCUUUAAAGAUCUUAUUACAUUGUCCUCUGGUCACAGUAUUUCUGAUGACAAGUCAGCCAUCAUUCAUAUCAUUGCUCCCCUGUAUGUGAAGUGCUUUGCCUUUCUUUUUUUUUUUUUCCCCCUCUCAUUUCUGUCUCUUUCAAGAUUUUCUCUUUAUCUUUGGUUUUCAACAGUUUGACCUUGAUCUUUUUUAGGCGUGUUUUUAAUUAAUUGUGUUUAUCCUGCUUAGAGUCCUCUGAGCUUGGAUCAAUGGUUUGCUCUUAUUCAUUAAAUUUGGAAACUUCUCAGCCCUUGUUUGUUCAGUCUUUCUUCUGCCCUGUGUUCUUUCUUUUUUCCCUGGAGCAUUCUAAUUACACCUGUAAAAGGCUGAUGUUAUCCCAUAAAUCUUGGAUACUUUGUUCCAGGUUUUUUUUUUCUCUUUUAUUUUAGCUGGGAUAAUUGGUUUCAAUUUCCAAGUCUCUGCCGAAGUCCCUCAUCUAUUCAUGCGUUGUGUCCCCCUUUUCCACCAGUUCCUUUAAUGCAUUUAUUGCAGUUGUUUUAAAGCCUCUUCAAGGUAAUUCUAACAUCUUGGCUAUCUUUGGAUCUAGUCCUGUUGAUUGUAUUCCCUCUAGAUAAUUUUCUGCCCUUUUUUUGUUCCCUCCCCUCCUCUCCUGGUGGUAAGUUUUGAUCAAAUUCCAGAUGUACAUGAAAACCAAGAGUGUGUGCCUCUUCUCUCUGGCACUUUCACAAGGACUCAGAUCAAUCUGGUGUGUCAUUGUGUGAUCUGGGCUUUGUUGUUGCUUUUGAUACACUCGGUUCACUACUUGCUUCAAGUUACUCGAAGGCGGGAUGUGAACAUUUUCCCUCUGGCAGGUCUUGCUUCUCUCAAUUUUCUUUUCUUUUCUUUUUUUUUCUUUCAGAAGUUAUAUCUACGUUAUUCAUCAGAACAUACUUUCAUGACACGGAUUUCUUAUAUGCAUGCUUCAUUUCUUUGCUAGAUUAAAAACAACUUGAGUUCAGGAAUGAAAUCUGUUAUUGUAGAACUACCUCAUGUAAGAGAUGAUCAGAACUGUUGGUGGUGGUCUAUUCAGCUAUGUCAGAAAGAAGACCAAAAUGGUCAAGUAUUAAUAAAUAGCUUUUUUUUCUCCCCAUCAAAUGUAUGGUAUCUCCUGAAAUAGGUCUUCCACUGUUACAUUAAAAAGUGAUAAGAAUAGGCGUUCCCAUUGUGGCUACGUAGGUUAAGAACCGACACGGUGUCCGUGAGGAUGAGGGUUCAGUCCCUGGCCUCUUUCAGUGGGUUAAGGAUCCGGCAUUGCCACAAGCCGUGGCAUAGGUUGCAGUUGUGGCUGGGAUCUGGUGUUGCUAUGGCUACAGGGUAGGCCUGUGGCCACAGCUCCAAUUGGAUCCUUAGCCCAGGAACGUCCAUAUGCUGCAGGUGCGACAGCCAAUUUUCUUACUUACCCUUCCGUUUACUAAAACUUGUGUGUGGCCUGCAUCAAGAGCCCCUCCCUGUGGUCAAGGACCGCUGCCUGAUACGUUAUGGCCCAGAGUCCUGCAGGGUUCUCUGCUCUCCCCAUUGCCCUUGAGCAGGCUUUGCAUACCUGUGCCAUGAGUGGCCUCCAAGGGGGAUAUACCAGCUCUCCCGCUCCCUCCCUCAGUGGUAGACUGCCACGACCCCCGACUCUGUGUGAGGCCCAGCGCCCAAAGGUUUCUCUAGUUCUCCUGCUUUGCUCUCAGAUAUCAGCGGGCCCCUGGCACUUGAGGUUAGGUGGGCUCUCCCCCAGCCAUAUGCCUUUUGUCCACUCCUCUCAUGCUCUCUCACUUAUCUCUGUCCUCACUGCCUUAGUGUCUUCUUCUGCUACCCAACACCUGUGCUUUGAACUCCAACUCCUCUGUGAGGCCUCAAAGGCCAUCACUAGUUUCAGAAAACCUUGCUGGUGUCCUAGGUCUGCAUUAGAUGCCCUCCCAUCACUCUAUAACUUUGCUGAGUUAAUUACCUUCUCUGUGUCUAGGUUUCCCGUCUCCAACUGAUCUCAUCAUUAUCUCGAGGAUUAAAAGAGUUAAUAGAUGUAGAGCACCUAGAACACAGAUGUUAAGAAUAGAAUCUCCGGGGGUUCCUGCUGUGGCUCAGAGGGUUCAGAACCUGAUUAGUCUCCAUGAGGAUGAGGGUUCAGUCCCUAGCUCCUUGCUCAGUAGGUUAAGGAUAUGGCAUUUGGUGUCGGUCACAGAUGUGGCUGGGAUCAGGCUGUGGCUGUGACAUAGGCUGGUAGCCGUAGCUCCGAUUUGACCCCUAGCCUGGGAACUUCCAUGUGGCUGCAGUAAUGGCUCUUCCCCCACCCCCCACCCCCCCAAAAAAGAAAAAAAAAA
rnacentral:lncRNA from 1 species